AGAGUUUGAUCCUGGCUCAGAUUGAACGCUGGCGGCAUGCCUUACACAUGCAAGUCGAACGGUAACGGGCCUUCGGGUGCCGACGAGUGGCGAACGGGUGAGUAAUGUAUCGGAACGUACCUUUCAGUGGGGAAUAACGCUCCGAAAGGAGUGGUAAUACCGCAUGAGACCGUAGUCUGGGAUGACUACGGUGAAACCUGGGGACCGCAAGGCCUGGGGCUAAAAGAGGAUCCUGCGUCUGAUUAGCUAGUUGGCGGGGUAAUGGCCCACCAAGGCGACGAUCAGUAGCCGGCCUGAGAGGGUGAUCGGCCACACUGGAACUGAGACACGGUCCAGACUCCUACGGGAGGCAGCAGUGGGGAAUUUUGCGCAAUGGACGAAAGUCUGACGCAGCAACGCCGCGUGGGUGAUGAAGGUCUUCGGACUGUAAAACCCUGUCGUCAGGGACGAAGGUUGGGGGGUUAAUAGCCCUUUAGCUUGACGGUACCUGGAGAGGAAGCCCCGGCUAACUCUGUGCCAGCAGCCGCGGUAAUACAGAGGGGGCAAGCGUUAUUCGGAAUUAUUGGGCGUAAAGGGCGCGUAGGCGGUUUGUUAAGUCGGAUGUGCAAUCCCCGAGCUCAACUUGGGAACUGCAUCCGAGACUGGAAGGCUAGAGUACUGGAGAGGUUGGUGGAAUUCCACGUGUAGCGGUGAAAUGCGUAGAGAUGUGGAGGAACACCAGUGGCGAAGGCGGCCAACUGGACAGUAACUGACGUUGAGGCGCGAAAGUGUGGGUAGCAAACAGGAUUAGAUACCCUGGUAGUCC
rnacentral:rRNA from 1 species